CACGUAGGCGGAUGUGUCAGUCAGGGGUGAAAUCCCGGAGCUCAACUUCGGAACUGCCCUUGAUACAGCACAUCUGGAGUCCGGAAGAGGUGGGUGGAAUUCCUAGUGUAGAGGUGAAAUUCGUAGAUAUUAGGAAGAACACCGGCGGCGAAGGCGGCCCACUGGUCCGGUACUGACGCUGAGGUGCGAAAGCGUGGGGAGCAAACA
rnacentral:rRNA from 1 species